CCCUUAGAUGUUCUGGGCCGCACGCGCGAUACACUGAUGCAUUCAACGAGUCUAAAACCUGCUCUGAUAGGGGUGGGUAAUCUUUUGAAUGUGCAUCGUGAUUGGGAUAGAUGAUUGCAAUUUUUCAUCUUCAACGAGGAAUGCCUAGUAAACGCAAGUCAUCAGCUUGCAUUGAUUACGUCCCUGCCCUUUGUACACACCGCCCGUCGCUCCUACCGAUUGAAUGAUCCGAUGAAUAUCAUGGAUUGAGGAUGCAAGUAGGUUAGCCUAUCUUCAUCUUCGAGAAGUGAAGUAAAUCUUAUCAUUUAGAGGAAGGAGAAGUCGUAACA
rnacentral:rRNA from 1 species